rnacentral:rRNA from 1 species
CCUACGGGGGGCAGCAGUGGGGAAUAUUGGACAAUGGGGGGAACCCUGAUCCAGCGACGCCGCGUGAGUGAAGAAGUAUUUCGGUAUGUAAAGCUCUAUCAGCAGGGAAGAAAGAAAUGACGGUACCUGACUAAGAAGCCCCGGCUAACUACGUGCCAGCAGCCGCGGUAAUACGUAGGGGGCAAGCGUUAUCCGGAUUUACUGGGUGUAAAGGGAGCGUAGACGGCGAUGCAAGUCUGAAGUGAAAGGCGGGGGCCCAACCCCCGGACUGCUUUGGAAACUGUAUAGCUGGAGUGCAGGAGAGGUAAGUGGAAUUCCUAGUGUAGCGGUGAAAUGCGUAGAUAUUAGGAGGAACACCAGUGGCGAAGGCGGCUUACUGGACUGUAACUGACGUUGAGGCUCGAAAGCGUGGGGAGCAAACAGGAUUAGAUACCCCAGU